GUGCCAAUUGGCAUAAACCCGUAGAUCCGAUCUUGUGGUGAAAUAUAGUGCACAAGCUCGUUUCUAUGGGUCAGUGUCAGUCUGGUG
rnacentral:pre_miRNA from 1 species